CGUAAAGUAAAAUGAAGUGGUUAAUGGUGAAGGGAAGACCUAGCUAUUUGGCCAACGUAACACCAAAAGUCAAGACACUGCUCCAGACCGUGGGAAAUCUUAUAAUUAUGGCAGAACUAGAUGAUAAGAAUGAAGACCAAAUUAACUCCAUCAGAAAAGGGUAUAUAUAUAUGCAAAUCACCUAGCUAGAUAGUCAGGUUUGAGUGUAGAG
rnacentral:lncRNA from 1 species